CCUACGGGAGGCAGCAGUGGGGAAUCUUGCGCAAUGGGGGAAACCCUGACGCAGCAACGCCGCGUGGAGGAUGAAGGUCUUCGGAUUGUAAACUCCUGUCAGAGGGGACGAAUGUUCACGGGCUAAUCACCGUGAGCUUGACGGUACCCUCAGAGGAAGCCACGGCUAACUCUGUGCCAGCAGCCGCGGUAAU
rnacentral:rRNA from 1 species